rnacentral:misc_RNA from 1 species
AACGCAACUUGCGCCGGUUUACCUGCAUGCCUGUUUCAGUGUGCUAGGGGAGUAAACUAUCAUUAUAAAAUAUAAUGCGAUUGAGGCACAUUUAUGUUCUUCUUUCGUUAAAAAUGAAGGUGUGAAAGAUGAGUAAUCUCUCACACUGGCAAACGAAGUAGUCAUGCUUGUUCGUGCUCCCGGUUAACCAGUGCUAAAGGUUUUUGCUUAGCUAUAAAUCACAGCUAAUCAACUAAAUAUCUCCAAAUUUAGCAUCUGAAAUCAGACAGGAAUACCCGCUGAACUUAA